rnacentral:rRNA from 1 species
UACGUAGGGUGCAAGCGUUGUCCGGAAUUAUUGGGCGUAAAGAGCUCGUAGGCGGUUUGUCGCGUCUGCUGUGAAAACUGGAGGCUCAACCUCCAGCCUGCAGUGGGUACGGGCAGACUAGAGUGCGGUAGGGGAGAUUGGAAUUCCUGGUGUAGCGGUGGAAUGCGUAGAGAUCGGGAGGAACACCGAUGGCGAAGGCAGGUCUCUGGGCAUUAACUGACGCUGAGGAGCGAAAGCAUGGGGAGCGAACAGG